rnacentral:rRNA from 1 species
GGCGUUAAGUUGCAGGGUAUAGACCCGAAACCCGGUGAUCUAGCCAUGGGCAGGUUGAAGGUUGGGUAACACUAACUGGAGGACCGAACCGACUAAUGUUGAAAAAUUAGCGGAUGACUUGUGGCUGGGGGUGAAAGGCCAAUCAAACCGGGAGAUAGCUGGUUCUCCCCGAAAGCUAUUUAGGUAGCGCCUCGUGAAUUCAUCUCCGGGGGUAGAGCACUGUUUCGGCAAGGGGGUCAUCCCGACUUACCAACCCGAUGCAAACUGCGAAUACCGGAGAAUGUUAUCACGGGAGACACACGGCGGGUGCUAACGUCCGUCGUGAAGAGGGAAACAACCCAGACCGCCAGCUAAGGUCCCAAAGUCAUGGUUAAGUGGGAAACGAUGUGGGAAGGCCCAGACAGCCAGGAUGUUGGCUUAGAAGCAGCCAUCAUUUAAAGAAAGCGUAAUAGCUCACUGGUCGAGUCGGCCUGCGCGGAAGAUGUAACGGGGCUAAACCAUGCACCGAAGCUGCGGCAGCGACGCUUAUGCGUUGUUGGGUAGGGGAGCGUUCUGUAAGCCUGUGAAGGUGUGCUGUGAGGCAUGCUGGAGGUAUCAGAAGUGCGAAUGCUGACAUAAGUAACGAUAAAGCGGGUGAAAAGCCCGCUCGCCGGAAGACCAAGGGUUCCUGUCCAACGUUAAUCGGGGCAGGGUGAGUCGACCCCUAAGGCGAGGCCGAAAGGCGUAGUCGAUGGGAAACAGGUUAAUAUUCCUGUACUUGGUGUUACUGCGAAGGGGGGACGGAGAAGGCUAUGUUGGCCGGGCGACGGUUGUCCCGGUUUAAGCGUGUAGGCUGGUUUUCCAGGCAAAUCCGGAAAAUCAAGGCUGAGGCGUGAUGACGAGGCACUACGGUGCUGAAGCAACAAAUGCCCUGCUUCCAGGAAAAGCCUCUAAGCAUCAGGUAACAUCAAAUCGUACCCCAAACCGACACAGGUGGUCAGGUAGAGAAUACCAAGGCGCUUGAGAGAACUCGGGUGAAGGAACUAGGCAAAAUGGUGCCGUAACUUCGGGAGAAGGCACGCUGAUAUGUAGGUGAAGUCCCUCGCGGAUGGAGCUGAAAUCAGUCGAAGAUACCAGCUGGCUGCAACUGUUUAUUAAAAACACAGCACUGUGCAAACACGAAAGUGGACGUAUACGGUGUGACGCCUGCCCGGUGCCGGAAGGUUAAUUGAUGGGGUCAGCGCAAGCGAAGCUCUUGAUCGAAGCCCCGGUAAACGGCGGCCGUAACUAUAACGGUCCUAAGGUAGCGAAAUUCCUUGUCGGGUAAGUUCCGACCUGCACGAAUGGCGUAAUGAUGGCCAGGCUGUCUCCACCCGAGACUCAGUGAAAUUGAACUCGCUGUGAAGAUGCAGUGUACCCGCGGCAAGACGGAAAGACCCCGUGAACCUUUACUAUAGCUUGACACUGAACAUUGAGCCUUGAUG